rnacentral:misc_RNA from 1 species
UUGUGGAGGAGGACGCCGAAGGUGGGGCUAAUGACUGGGGUGAAGUCGUAACAAGGUAGCCGUACCGGAAGGUGCGGCUGGAUCACCUCCUAACAGGGAGACAACAAAAUGUUAAAUAUUAAUUUUGUCACCUUAGGUCGAUCGGUAUCUCACAUUCUUAAUUUAUUUAAGGAUUUUUAUUUCCUAAGUUUUUUCUAGGUCACACCCAUUACUUUUCCUGGGCCAUUAGCUCAGGUGGUUAGAGCGCACCCCUGAUAAGGGUGAGGUCCCUGGUUCAAGUCCAGGAUGGCCCAUAUCUCUAUGUUGGGGGUAUAGCUCAGUUGGUAGAGCGCCUGCUUUGCAAGCAGGAUGUCAGCGGUUCGAGUCCGCUUACCUCCACUGAUUACCACCUCUUCCAUAAUUUGUGAAAGGGAAGGUUUUGAGUAUUGAUCUUAUUCUGAACGAAUCUAGCUUCCUAGUGUAUUCAUUAAGAUGCUGGACUCAUUGAAUUUAUUCAUUGUUUUCAGAGAACCUUGACAACUGCAUAGAUUAUUUUUAAAGACAAUAAGCAUUUUUAAUGAUGCAGAUUUAUUAUUUUUGCAAAUGCAUUAAUAACAAUUCUAUUAAGCUGAUGCUUCAAUUAUUGAAGUUAUUGGUCAAGCUACAA